rnacentral:rRNA from 1 species
GUGAGGAAUAUUGGUCAAUGGACGGAAGUCUGAACCAGCCAUGCCGCGUGCAGGAAUAAGGUCCUAUGGAUUGUAAACUGCUUUUAUUCGGGAAUAAACCUCUUUACGUGUAGGGAGCUGAAGGUACCGAAGGAAUAAGCACCGGCUAACUCCGUGCCAGCAGCCGCGGUAAUACGGAGGGUGCAAGCGUUAUCCGGAAUCAUUGGGUUUAAAGGGUCCGCAGGCGAGCUAUCAAGUCAGAGGUGAAAUCCCACAGCUUAACUGUGGAACUGCCAUUGAAACUGAUGGUCUUGAAUUAAGUGGGCGUUGGCGGAAUAUGACAUGUAGCGGUGAAAUGCAUAGAUAUGUCAUGGAACACCGAAAGCGAAGGCAGCUAACGAUACUUAUAUUGACGCUCAUGGACGAAAGCGUGGGUAGCGAACAGGAUUAGAAACCCGAGUAGUCC